CAAUUUCUAUGUGUCAUUUUAAAUGAUGUGUGUGGAUUAUAAAACAUAUUAAAAGGCGCCACUGACUCUAAUUUUAGCACCAUACUGCACUGAACCAAGAAUUUUUGCUGCAUUAAAAUAUCGUAUAGCGGUUGGUUUUCGUCUUUAUAUUUUAGCCAUGAAUGAAGCGACCUUGCCUACCUGCAAGCAGCAACCACGAAAAGAUUAACCACUACCAUAGUUGAUGUAAUUACAGUGCCAACAAAAUUAAUUCCACUUCCGAAUCCAAGGGUCGCAUCUUUUAGAACCCCCAAAAUUCGUUCAGCCAAUAUGGUGGCGCUUAUGUUCUACAGCUAGUAUAGACAUUUAGAGAAAAUGGGUGUGGUCUAGCUCAGUUUUCACUUAGCUAGCUAGAGCUAUGCUUUAGGACCUCAAAAAUUACGCUGAGUCUUACGUUGAAAGAAACUGGCCUUUGUGAUUACCCUGAUCUUAUCUAUAAUAUGGAUGAGUCGGGUUUUCCUUUGAAUCUGAAACCUCUCAAAAGUGUUAAUUGUCGUGGAUCAAAGAACCCAUAUUGUGUGUCGAGUGGCUCCAAAUCUCAAGUAUCAAUUGCUGCUUGUGUCAGUGCUGCAGGUCAGAGCCUACCUCCAUACAUAAUAUGGAGACGAAAAACUCUGUCUCCUGAUUUGACCAUCGGAGAACUGCCAGGAACUGAUUAUGGUUUAUCGGACAAAGGCUGGAUGAACAGUGUUUUAUUCCAUUCAUGGUUCCGAAAGAUAUUUCUUCGAUACGCUCCUGCAAGCCGACCACUCAUGCUGUUAUUAGACGGCCACAGUUCACACUACUGUACAGAUACCAUCCAACUGUCUACCGAGAAUGAAGUGAUCCUAUUCACACUACCCCCAAACACAACGCAUUUGAGUCAACCAUUAGACAAAGGUGUAUUUGGGCCUUUUAAAGCCCAUUGGAACUAGUGUGCCACGAUUACGUAAUCAAUACAUACAACUUUGUUCAACUAUUUUCGAAAGCAUGGAUAGAGUCUAUAACUGCAUGCCUCUAAUAUUGCCACAGGAUUUGCGAUUACAGGCAUAUACCCACUAGACCGAACAGCAAUUUAUUUCCCUGGGGCUAGGAAACCUAGGGACAAUGUUGUUCCUAAUGUGACAUUCACACCUUUCAAACGGUAUGCUGUUUCUGAUAACAUGAUGUCUUCAUCUGAUUUACGUCUCCUGGCCUCUCCAACCUUUUGUGUUCCACAACCUCCCAAAGCACUGCGUAACGUAGCUGAUCUACCUACACCAAAGCUAAAAACUGUGCCAUUGUACACAAUUGCUAACCGAGUUAUCUCGAGUCAUGCUAGUGUAGGCUUGAAGUGUGAUGAAACAUCUGACCAGGGGAAAAAACAAGCACCAAAGGGAAUCACUAAACCCUCUAAGUCUGCCCAAGUGCAAUGUUUCGUAUGUGGUGUUAUUACUUUCAAGCCAUGUAAUCAUUCCGUUCUUUGUGGAAUGUGUGCAAAGGUUGCAAGAAACCUGUGAAAAGUUUUGCGAUACAGUGCCUCAUGUGUGAUGACUAAAAAACCAGGACGUGUUUUUGCAAUUAAACCGUGUGGCCAUUCUUUCUGCAGAGAAUGCUCCAAGAGGAUGAAGAAAUGCUUUGAGUGCAAAGUUCAUAUUGAAUUGACGGUACCUCAUUAAUAGUGCACUAGCUGUACAUGUUUACAGUGUACCUACACGUACUGUAUAUUAUGAUCUGCAAAUACAGUACAAUUAACAACAAUGUGCAUUUAUAGAUUAUAAGUCUAUUGGGUAUGAUCUCGUGUACAUGUACAGUAAGUACGUGUAUAGUGAUAAUGCCGUUUCCCAAGCACACGCACAUAUAAUUAUGUCCAGACAACUUGGGUGAUAUUCAGGGUUUCAACUUAAACAUACAUGUACAUGUACACACGCUUGUUGUAUCAACCAUGUCCAGAGUCAAAACUGCCCACUAGCCUCCAAGAUUUCCAAGCUUCAUCAGAGCGUCCGUCCACAGAAACGGAGGUAGAGAUGCCUGUCAACUUGCGUUUUGAGACUACUGUCAGUAAGGAUGAAUUUAUAUACCCACACACACACUCGUUGUACUAUCAUGCCUGUUGCAGAGUCAGAACUGCCCACGCUCAUAAGAUUUCCCAGCUUCAUCGGAGC